CAGCUGCCAUGUGGGUGGGGAUUCAGGUUUUUAGCUGUGACCCCACCCUGGCCUACCAUAAAGGAGAUGAAAUAAGUUCCAGGAGGGUUUUGCUGCUGGAGGUGGGGUUUGGUGUUCCCUCAUGAGUGUGGACAUCUGUGGGGUUGCAGCAGGAGCUUGUUGGGGCUGGGCUGCUCCCAGAGGUCUCCAAAAGGAGGAGUAUGAGCAGUUCAGAGCAGACCUGCCUGCAAGGCCUGGUUCCCUCCAUGGAGAGAUGCAUCAAACCUCAACCGCUUCACCUCAUUGCUCUGGAUGAUCUUACCAGUUAAAAUAUGUCCAGCCCGACAUAAGGAAGCGGUCUUCUGGUACGUUCCAUCUGUGUGAUGUACUUUGUCUAAAAAAGGUUUCGGAAGCUCGGUAAACAGAGCCUGAGCCUGCACGAAGGGGAUUAAGGAGGAGAGGCAAGAGUGGAAGGGAAAAUGAGGAUAUGACAGAGGCCAUAGUGAGUUCAAACAAAAUUUGGCCUGCAGAAGGCAGAAGAAAUCCCACUGGUGACAGGUGCCAUCUUGUGGGUCAUUCUGCCACUCUGCCUCCUGCCACUUUUUAUAACGAGAAGAGAUAAAGGAGGACUGGGUUCUUAGAGGCUUCGAAUUGGAAAAGUAAUUCAAAGGGAUGUGAGCAUGGUUGGCUUCGGGGUUUGCAUGAUACUGUAAACAUCAAUACUUUGCUUGUCAGCACUCUAUGCUAUUUAAGAAUGUUAAAGUCCUCUAUGAAUAGAGACUAUGUGCGUGUCUAGAAACAUGUAAUCAUAAAUAGUACGAAUGAUAAUCAAAUUAUUUUUACUUUAUAGUAAUGCAAAUAAAAUAUUCAUGCAUCAUGUAGGCCUAGGAAAGGUUACAGCCUGCAAACUGUGCUAAUUAAAAUAUAAUAGCACCAAGGAGUAUAUGUAAGAGUUACUAAUGUCCAUAUUUUCCCUCUUUCCUUUAAGAUCUUAUCUUUAAUGAAUACAUAAAAAUGCAAUGGUUAGCUGGUACUUUAGUUCUGUGGCUUUUUUUCAGGAAAUUUAUUUUGAAAGGAUGUGCAGAAAUAAUCUCAGCAUCUUCUAAGCCAAAAUCAAAUAUACUAUGAUAAAGUAUAUAUGAUUUUUUUUUUUAAAGGAAAAACUAGUAUUUCAGGCAUGAUCCUGAAUUCAGUCAAAAAACUACAGAAUGAUUAAUUCUUAAAGCUUUCCCAGUUUAAAAGAAAAAGAAAUAGAACAGUAUUCAUGUCAAACAUGAUGGCAUAUCUCAGUAUUAUUUUUAAACCAAAUUUGAGGGUCAGAUUUUUAAGUAAGAGAAGAAGUUUGCAUUCUAAAUUGCUAAUUUUAAGUAUUGUUUGACAAACAACCCCAACUUGGAAUUAGCCUUAAUUUCCUUUUCCCAUGUUUGUACUCCUGUCUAAAAUAACAUUGCUGUUUUGUGGAUGUUUAUGAAACAAAAUCACAUUGGGGUGAAUGAAUAGCAAUGAAAGGAAGCUUUAAGCUGAUAUGUACAAAAAUUCUAAAUAUGCCUUAUUGCAAGCAUUAAUGCAGUAUUUGUGCCAUAAGUAAGGAAUAUAACAUUGUCUGGGUAAGGAACAGCAGCAGUGCCAUCCGAGAGCGCCCAUCACGGCUCUAGGUGAGCUCUGUUAAGAAUUCAUAAGGAGAAAGCAAAUCCAUGAAAAUGCCAAGUAAAUUUGACUGAUUAAUGCAUUUGAAAGGAAUUCUUAUUCCUUGGCGAGCAUUCCGUUGUUAUGAGGAAUAUGAAGACCAUCGAGUGCAUUAUUCUGUCCCCACGAUUCGCUUAUCCCCGGUUGUGAAUCAGUGCAUGAGACUUGACUGUCAAUGGCUGGAGUCAAUGGCUGUAUUGUGCAUGGGCAGAAUUCCCGGCCAUGCAAACCGAGCUCAGCCUUCAUAUUCUUUAAUCACCUAAACUUGGGAAGUUGCAUAAAUGUGAAACGCUGUGAAACUCUUCUUUGCACGUA